rnacentral:lncRNA from 1 species
CUCAAACUGCUUCUACCAGGGAGUAGAGCCCAGAGGGCUCCAGAAUCCGGCAUACCUGCCUGAGAACGUCUCAUCUUCCUUCAAGUUCCAUUCGGCUGCCUGGCACACUGAAGAACCCACAGACGUGGGUGGUGAAGGAAGCAAUGGAUGAACUUGUAUUUGGUCCAACACCAACAGCAGAUGCUCCAGUCUCCCAGCUCUGAGGCUCUAGCUUGAGCCCUUUGAAGAAAAUGCUCCGAGGAAACAGGUGCAGUGACUCUGAGCUGGCCCUGAAGAGGAAAUUCAAGUCCAUUGAGUCACCUUUCACUGAAGCCAGGGGGAAAAACCCAGAAAUCCCUUUGCCUUCCAGACCCAACCAGAAGCUUUUAAGGACCUAAUCUCUUGAAAGAUGUUU